rnacentral:rRNA from 1 species
AUGAACGCUGGCGGCUUGCCUAAUCCAUGCAAGUCGAGCGAACGGACGAGAAGCUUGCUUCUCUGAUGUUAGCGGCGGACGGGUGAGUAACACGUGGAUAACCUACCUAUAAGACUGGGAUAACUUCGGGAAACCGGAGCUAAUACCGGAUAAUAUUUUGAACCGCAUGGUUCAAAAGUGAAAGACGGUCUUGCUGUCACUUAUAGAUGGAUCCGCGCUGCAUUAGCUAGUUGGUAAGGUAACGGCUUACCAAGGCAACGAUGCAUAGCCGACCUGAGAGGGUGAUCGGCCACACUGGAACUGAGACACGGUCCAGACUCCUACGGGAGGCAGCAGUAGGGAAUCUUCCGCAAUGGGCGAAAGCCUGACGGAGCAACGCCGCGUGAGUGAUGAAGGUCUUCGGAUCGUAAAACUCUGUUAUUAGGGAAGAACAUAUGUGUAAGUAACUGUGCACAUCUUGACGGUACCUAAUCAGAAAGCCACGGCUAACUACGUG